UUAGGGUGUCAAGAAGAAUUGUAAGCAGAUUGAAUCUGCUAAAUUAUUACCUGAUACACCUGUUCAAUUCAUACCUCCAAAUACAUUGAACCUUCGUAGCUUUACCAAGAUCAUAAAGAGACUGGCUGAACUGCAUCCAGAAGUCAGCAGAGACCAUAUUAUAAAUGCACUUCAGGAAGUGAGAAUAAGACAUAAAGGUUUUCUGAAUGGCUUAUCUAUUAAUACUAUUGUGGAGAUGACUUCAUCUCUUCUGAAAAACUCUGCUUCCAGUUAGGAAUUCAAAAACAAUAAAGAGGUAAAGUAAUCAUAUUCUUUCAUAUUUGAAUAUUACUUAAAAUUUAUAAGCUAUUGAUUUCAUUUUCUUUUUACAUAAAAAACAUAUUAAAUUUAAAAUAAUAAUAUAAUCACAAAAUAAUAUAAAUUUUAAAGCAAGCAUACUGUAAUUAGUUAACUACUAAUACAAAACUAAUUACCCUAAAAUUGACUGGCUUAAACAACACUCAUAAACUCACAGUUUGCAGAUCAGGAUUCAGGAGUGACUUAGCCGGGUGGUUUUAGCUCAGGGUUUUUCAUGUUGCAGUCAAGAUGUUGGCCUGGACUGUAGUCAUUCAGAGGUUUCCCUGAGACCAGAGGAUCUGCUUCUCAGGGGGCUCAUUCACAUGUCUGUUGGCAACAGGCCUCAGUUCCUCACCACAUAGGCCCUUCCAUAAGGCUCUUCAAAUGUUUUUGCAUCAUGGCAGCU
rnacentral:sRNA from 1 species